UUUAUCAAGAGCGGUGGAGGGAACGGCCCUGUGAAACCCGGCAACAGCCUUCGGGCAAUGUGCUAAAUCCGUCAGACAUGUCGUCUGGGAGAUAAGU
rnacentral:ncRNA from 1 species